rnacentral:rRNA from 1 species
UACGUAGGGAGCAAGCGUUGUUCGGAUUUACUGGGCGUAAAGGGCGCGUAGGCGGCGCGGUAAGUCACUUGUGAAAUCUCUGAGCUUAACUCAGAACGGCCAAGUGAUACUGCAGUGCUAGAGUGCAGGAAGGGCAAUCGGAAUUCCCGGUGUAGCGGUGAAAUGCGUAGAUAUCGGGAGGAACCCCAGAGGCGAAGGCGGCCUGCUGGGCUGCACCUGACGCUGAACCGCGAAAGCCAGGGGAGCGAACGGG